ACGAACGCUGGCGGCAUGCCUAACACAUGCAAGUCGAACGAGACCUUCGGGUCUAGUGGCGCACGGGUGCGUAACGCGUGGGAACCUGCCUUUAGGUUCGGAAUAACUCAGAGAAAUUUGAGCUAAUACCGGAUGAUGUCUUCGGACCAAAGAUUUAUCGCCUUUAGAUGGGCCCGCGUUGGAUUAGCUAGUUGGUGGGGUAAAGGCCUACCAAGGCGACGAUCCAUAGCUGGUCUGAGAGGAUGAUCAGCCACACUGGGACUGAGACACGGCCCAGACUCCUACGGGAGGCAGCAGUGGGGAAUAUUGGACAAUGGGCGAAAGCCUGAUCCAGCAAUGCCGCGUGAGUGAUGAAGGCCUUAGGGUUGUAAAGCUCUUUUACCCGAGAUGAUAAUGACAGUAGCGGGAGAAUAAGCGCCGGCUAACUCCGUG
rnacentral:rRNA from 1 species